ensembl:lncRNA
UAUUUCAGUUGGUGUGCAAUGAAUCUAAAAUAUAUGAAAGUUUAAUUUUUAUCAUUACAUUAUGGAAAAUAAUGAACUUUUUCACAAUAUGCUAAUUUUUUGAGAAGGACCUGUAUAUAAAGCUAAAAUAAUUUUUAAAAUUCAAAAGUAAAUUGAUCUUGGAGACAUUUUCUGAAAAUGUUUAAAAAAUAUAAAUAUUUAUAAAUAUAUAAAUAAAAUCAAUCCAAGGAAAUACAUUCAAGUCACAGUUAAAGAAAAGCUUUAUUCACUGUAAAAAAUGUCCACCUGCUUCAACUUUUUAACUUCAGUUCAGUUGCUGCCUUAAUUUUUUUUUUAUUAAUUUUUUAAAAGUAUGAUCAAUAAUUGGCUGUACAAGACAUUUCAAUUUAAAUCAUAUUAAACUGAUUUAAAAAAUUGAGUUGAGUCUUGUAUAACUUGAAAACUUAAGUUUAUACCAGUUAAAUUUGAUGAGCUAAACUUAACAGAAACAUAUAUGACUUAUUGAUCAUAUCAUUUUUACAGUGUUUGUUAUGUGACACGCUGGUAUUUUCCAUCCACAUCUGGAUUUAGCCUAAAUAUGGGCUAUAUACUGUAAGAUUUGAAAUGUAUUUUCUUGCUCCUGAAAUACAUUUUGAACUGUGAAAUGUGGGAAACCAAAUAUAAUUCUUCUAUGACACACCUUUUGGAAUCUUGAGAGUUGAGAGUGUGUAAAGAUGCUGUUGUCCAGUGGAUGUGAAUGCUUUGUGCUGCAGCUGUACAGUCGAACAGUGCCGAUUGUAACCAAAACGAGUGUGAAUAUUGGAGCCCUGAUGGCCACAUGCCGUGCGAGCCACAGCCACGUUCUCUUCCACAGCGGUGAUAAGGAGGUGUGAAAAAGCCAGACGUGUUGGACCCCUCACUCAGGAUGAGACCUCACUCCAAGUGCUGUGUCGCUGGAGCCGAGAGCCGUCAGAUUCCUGAGCGCCAACAGCAACGGUCUCCAACGAUGCCUCCGCUUCCUCCUGAACUUCAGCCUGAGAUACAUACGUAAACAUAGGGCCCAGUGUAGUAUGUGUUUAUCUUUUCCACUGUAAAGUGAAUCCAUGGAUGUUAAAGGUUCUUCACGGAGCCAUCAAUGCCACUGAAGAACCUUUAUUUUUAAGAGUGCAGAAGAAUAGUUCUGGUUCCUCAAAGAACCUUUCUGUGACCAGUUCACCAUUUUUUAUCCUAGUGUGAAGAACAUUUUAAUCAUCUAUAGAAACUUUCUCCACUAUGAAGAACUGCAUUUUUGUAUUGGAAAGCUUCUGUGGAUGUUAAAUGUUCUUCAUGAAACCAUCGAUGUCCAUGAAGAACCUUUUUUUUUUAAGAGUGAGGUAUCUUUGACUGUGCUUGAAAACACAACUUUUUAAGUUUUUUAAAAAUAAAGGUUCCAUAGAAGAACCAUUUUGGCUGGAAGAUUUCUUUAAAUAAAAUUUUUUUUCUAAGUGUGAAGAACAUUUUAGUAAUCUGUUGAGCCUUUUUCCAUUAUAAAGAGCAUUUUGCGCAAUAAAAAGGUUUCGAUGGGGUUGCCAGAUUGGUGAUUUAUUUUCCUGCACAAUUGGGCUGUUUUGAGAAUUCAGAGAUUUUUUUGCUUUUGUUUUUUGGGCUACUUAUGUACCACAGACACCACAAAGUUUAUAUUUAGACAAAGAAAAUGUAAAUACAUAAUUUUACUAAUGUGUGUUGAUUCUUGGAAUAAAUACCUGGCAACCCAAGGACCGAAGAGUAUGUUGACUUUUCUAUAUAUAUAUAUAUAUAUAUAUAUAUAUAUAUAUAAAGUUUUCAUUUAUUGUUAUGAAGAUGUGUACAAUCUACAUUGUGUUAAAAGAAUUGGGGAAGUGCACAGACAAUACAUCUUUUGAAGCAAAAACUUCUUUGAGCAAUGGGCAACUAAUUUGAAACGAUGUGAAAAGUGCAAUAUAAAUAGCCUAAAUAUGACUUGACUUGUGCUUAUAUUUUAAGCAAUUUAUCAUGCAAAGUGAUGGAAAAUAAAACCAAAGGCAGAGUAAAAUAAUUCAAAGUACCAAAAUAAAAAAAGGAACUAAAGAAGAUAAAAUACAGAUUAAGCUGUCAACUGUUUUUUUGUUUGUUUGUUUGUUUUUGUUUGUUUGUUUUUUCUCCUGGGAUCUGGCAACCCUCCUAGAACUGACAAAGAACGAGUGUAUGGUUCAAGAAAAUGUCCAUGAGCUCAAAAGAUAGCAUCCUGGCACAAAAUUACAGUACAUUUUCCAUUUUUCUGCUUUAUUUCCUUGCAGUGUUAAAUCUGACACGAAAUGUAUUUAUUCUUCAUGAGUGUGUGUAAUGUGAAUAAUCCUGCAGAUGCUCACUUAAGCAACCGUUCUCUCAUGUGUCAAUAAAAUCGCACCGGUAUCUGUUUAAAC